CAAUGACAGCCGGAUGGGAAGUAGGAGGGGGGCUGGAGCAGCCUCCGGAAAGCGCCCCUGCGCGCACCGGUGUUCUCGUGCUCGGCGGUGCUAAAACAAGCUUGCUCCGAAGAGCUGUAGAUGCUGUUUCUGCCGAGUGAAAAUACUUUCUGUUGGCUCUGCUGUUACACACCUGUGUGUGAAGAAGGGAUUUGAUGGACUGACUCGCUGCCCGGAAAGCGAGUGCUGGAGCUCUGUUGCAAAAUCCCAUGCGUGUGCUCUGCUUGCUGCUUCGACACUCUGUUCUCUCACCAGCUCCCAAUACCCUCUUGUUCCAGUUUCCAACAAAAUGACUGCCAUCGUUCCAGGACCCAGUGAAUCCAUGAAUGCCAUCACAGAAAGCAGCAUCUAAGGCUUGAAUGCAGAGACAGAGGUUUAAUCCUGGAAGGAGGUGUAUGUGUGCACGCAGUCUCCACCUCUACGGUUCACAGGAGAAUGACUGUCCCUGCACAUCUUUGAAAAUGGAGAGGAGUUGGGGCGCCCGGGUGGCUCAGUUGGUUGAGCAUCUGCCUUCAGCUCAGGUCAUGAACCCAGGGUCCUGGGAUCA